UAACCAGGAUCCUUGCUCCUGUCCUUGCGCUUUGCGCCACCUCCGCUUAACCCGCGGCGCUACCGCCCGACCCUCUAUUUCCAUUUCUUUAUGCUUCCCUUUAUGUUCACUACUUCCACCAUGGCCCAAACCACUCCCCUUUCUUUCUGGUUUAGUUUGGAAACCUCCAAAGUGCUAGUACCUGGUUUUGCCUGUGGCUUUUAGAGACUACCAGGAAGCCAAAAACCAUAAAUCAAAUGAUGUUACUCUUCUGGUCAAAACUACUCAUUGAUUUAAUCUCAGAAUAAAAAUCCAGUGUCAUCCUUACCUCUACUCACAUUACAGAGUCCCUCAACCACAGCAGAGAUACCCUUGCUUCAGCCUCAUGUUAGUUCUUCCUCCUGAUGUCCUUCAGGCCUGCAAGUCUGAGUGAUGAAACCCUCCCUCCCCAUUCUCUGUAAUUUAAAAUAGCGGUAUCUGCUAAUCUUCCCUCUGCACUGUUAUUUAUUUCCACAGCACUGCUAGGCCUGAAACACCAUACAUCUCGCUUUCUCUGCUCAUUUUCUCUACUCCCUGAUGUCUUCCUCACACAACUUCAGGAAAACAGGAAUUUAAUUUUCUACCUCCCCCUUUCUGCCGUCCCUGUGCGGUUAACUGACAGGCAAAGGACCCUAUCAAUAGACUGUAACAACUGUUCACUCUUGAGUCAUUUUAUUGAUUACAAGAAAGUAUGAUGAGCCAAAAGCUGAUAGUAUUUUCUAAAUAUGUAAUGUUAAUUCUUCCUAUAAUUAUAAUUCAGGGUAGAUUCUGUAACCUCUAUGUAAACUCCAUGAGGCAUGAACCUUGUCUGGUCCAUGUUUGAAGAUCCUGAAUAUUUAUUAACAAUUAUAUAUGAAAGAGAAAGAGGAUGAGGAAAGAGAGAAAAUCAGAGUAUCACUAUGAUACAUGUAAUGCCAGAGCUCAAGCUUUGGGCUUCAUGUGUGAGAGUCCCACACUUCAUUCACAGUACCUCCUUCAUGUCUCUUCACCUGUAUUUGAGAUCACAAAGUGGUAACAAAGAAGGAGCUUUAGCCGUUAUCUAUCCACUCAUUGUUGGAGCUAAAUGAACUUUGCAAAGGGCAAGUAGCUUUCACAACCAGUUACAGUUUGGUUCCCCAAGUGCUAACCCUGAGUUCUUUCCUGUUUAUUGAGAUGCCCAUGUCUGCUUCACAAAACGGAGCCAACCUUUGGAAUUUGACAUUGUGAAUGGUUCAUUAAGGUUGGAAGGAACAAGGGUGUUAGGAUGCCACUAUUUGCACUUCAUUCUCAUCAAUUCUAUGACAUAAAGGGCUGAAUCUGGCAACAAGUCCGGCAUGUGUUCAUAUUCCAUCACCACUAUUAAUGGGUUGUGAAAUUUUGGUAAAGUUGUUUAACUAAGAAGUUCUUAGCUAAUACUUCUGUUAAAAAAUGAGGCUUGUCUUAAUAAAACUGUUGUAAGGUUUUUAUAGUAGGGUUGCAAAACUGUAAUUCACAAGUAACGGACAAGUGAGAAAAAUAUGCUACUUUGAUCUUGUCCAUAACUAAUGUGGUCUUCCUUAUCAGUCCUUCAGCUACUGGUAGCAAGGCAAAAUUAAUUCAAGGUUUUGCUUUAAACUUUGUCUAGGGAUGGGGUAGAUAGCAUAAUAGUUAUGCAAAGAAUCUCUCAUGCCUGAGGCUCCAAAGUCCCAGGUUCAAUUCCCCACACUGCCAUAAAACCAGAGCAGAAGGGAGUCGGGUGGUAACAGCAGGUUAAGCACAGGUGACACAAAGCACAGAGACUGGCCUAAGGAUCCUGGUUCAAGCCACCGGCUCCCCACCUAUAGGGGAGUCACUUCACAAGAGGUGAAGCAAGUCUGCAGGUGUCUACCUUUCUCCCUCUCUGUCUUCCCCUCCUCUCUCCAUUUUUCUGUCCUAUCCAACAACAAUGACAUCAGUAACAACAACAAUAAUAACUACAACAAUAAAACAGCAAGGUCAACAAAAAGGAAUAAAUAAACAUAAAAAAAUUUUUAAAAAAGAGGGCCAGGGCUAGGGAGUCGGGCUGUAGCACAACGGGUUAAGCGCAGGUGGUGCUAAGCACAAGGACCCGCAUAAGGAUCCUGGUUCAAGCCCUGGCUCCCCACCUGCAGGGGUGUCGCUUCACAAGUGGUGAAACAAGUCUGCAGGUGUCUAUCUUUCUCUCCCUCUCUCUGUCUUCCCCCUCCCCUCUCCAUUUCUCUCUGUCCUAUCCAACAACAAUGACAACAAUAAUAACUACAACAAUAAAACAA